AGAGUUUGAUCAUGGCUCGGGAUGAACGCUAGCUACAGGCUUAACACAUGCAAGUCGAGGGGCAGCAUGUUGGUUGCUUGCAACCAACGAUGGCGACCGGCGCACGGGUGAGUAACGCGUAUCCAACCUACCCUUGUCCAUCGGAUAACCCGUCGAAAGGCGGCCUAACACGAUAUGCGGUUCACAGCAGGCAUCUAACGUGAACGAAAUGUGAAGGAGAAGGAUGGGGAUGCGUCUGAUUAGCUUGUUGGCGGGUAACGGCCACAAGGCUACGAUCAGUAGGGGUUCUGAGAGGAAGGUCCCCCANAUUGGAACUGAGACACGGUCCAAACUCCUACGGGAGGCA
rnacentral:rRNA from 1 species